AUUGAACGCUGGCGGCAGGCCUAACACAUGCAAGUCGAGCGGAUGAAGGGAGCUUGCUCCUGGAUUCAGCGGCGGACGGGUGAGUAAUGCCUAGGAAUCUGCCUGGUAGUGGGGGAUAACGUCCGGAAACGGGCGCUAAUACCGCAUACGUCCUGAGGGAGAAAGUGGGGGAUCUUCGGACCUCACGCUAUCAGAUGAGCCUAGGUCGGAUUAGCUAGUUGGUGGGGUAAAGGCCUACCAAGGCGACGAUCCGUAACUGGUCUGAGAGGAUGAUCAGUCACACUGGAACUGAGACACGGUCCAGACUCCUACGGGAGGCAGCAGUGGGGAAUAUUGGACAAUGGGCGAAAGCCUGAUCCAGCCAUGCCGCGUGUGUGAAGAAGGUCUUCGGAAUGUAAAGCACUUUAAGUUGGGAGGAAGGGCAGUAAGUUAAUACCUUGCUGUUUUGACGUUACCAACAGAAUAAGCACCGGCUAACUUCGUG
rnacentral:rRNA from 1 species